rnacentral:rRNA from 1 species
CUGAGGCGCGAAAGCGUGGGGAGCGAACAGGAUUAGAUACCCUGGUAGUCCACGCCCUAAACGAUGUCAACUAGUUGUUGGGGAUUCAUUUCUUCAGUAACGUAGCUAACGCGUGAAGUUGACCGCCUGGGGAGUACGGUCGCAAGAUUAAAACUCAAAGGAAUUGACGGGGACCCGCACAAGCGGUGGAUGAUGUGGAUUAAUUCGAUGCAACGCGAAAAACCUUACCUACCCUUGACAUGCCACUAACGAAGCAGAGAUGCAUUAGGUGCCCGAAAGGGAAAGUGGACACAGGUGCUGCAUGGCUGUCGUCAGCUCGUGUCGUGAGAUGUUGGGUUAAGUCCCGCAACGAGCGCAACCCUUGUCUCUAGUUGCUACGAAAGGGCACUCUAGAGAGACUGCCGGUGACAAACCGGAGGAAGGUGGGGAUGACGUCAAGUCCUCAUGGCCCUUAUGGGUAGGGCUUCACACGUCAUACAAUGGUGCGUACAGAGGGUUGCCAACCCGCGAGGGGGAGCUAAUCCCAGAAAACGCAUCGUAGUCCGG